rnacentral:rRNA from 1 species
GAUGAACGCUGGCGGCGUGCUUAACACAUGCAAGUCGAACGGAAAGGCCCAAGCUUGCUUGGGUACUCGAGUGGCGAACGGGUGAGUAACACGUGGGUGAUCUGCCCUGCACUUCGGGAUAAGCCUGGGAAACUGGGUCUAAUACCGGAUAGGACGAUGGUUUGGAUGCCAUUGUGGAAAGUUUUUUCGGUGUGGGAUGAGCUCGCGGCCUAUCAGCUUGUUGGUGGGGUAAUGGCCUACCAAGGCGUCGACGGGUAGCCGGCCUGAGAGGGUGUACGGCCACAUUGGGACUGAGAUACGGCCCAGACUCCUACGGGAGGCAGCAGUGGGGAAUAUUGCACAAUGGGCGCAAGCCUGAUGCAGCGACGCCGCGUGGGGGAUGACGGCCUUCGGGUUGUAAACUCCUUUCGCUGGGGACGAAGCGUUUUUGUGACGGUACCUGGAGAAGAAGCACCGGCUAACUACGUG